rnacentral:rRNA from 1 species
CUUCGGAAGGGGUGUAUUUAUUAGAUAAAAAACCAAUGCCCUUCGGGGCUCCUUGGUGAUUCAUAAUAACUUCUCAGAUCGCAUGGCCUUGCGCCGGCGACGGUUCAUUCAAAUUUCUGCCCUAUCAACUUUCGAUGGUAAGGUAUUGGCUUACCAUGGUUUCAACGGGUAACGGGGAAUUAGGGUUCGAUUCCGGAGAGGGAGCCUGAGAAACGGCUACCACAUCCAAGGAAGGCAGCAGGCGCGCAAAUUACCCAAUCCCGACACGGGGAGGUAGUGACAAUAAAUACUGAUACAGGGCUCUUUUGGGUCUUGUAAUUGGAAUGAGUACAAUUUAAACCUCUUAACGAGGAACAAUUGGAGGGCAAGUCUGGUGCCAGCAGCCGCGGUAAUUCCAGCUCCAAUAGCGUAUAUUAAAGUUGUUGCAGUUAAAAAGCUCGUAGUUGAACCUUUGGCCUGGCUGGCAGGUCCGCCUCACCGCGUGCACUUGUCCGGCCGGGCCUUCUUUUCUGGAGAACCGCAUGCCCUUCACUGGGUGUGUUGGGGACCAGGACUUUUACUUUGAAAAAAUUAGAGUGUUCAAAGCAGGCCUUUGCUCGAAUACGUUAGCAUGGAAUAAUAGAAUAGGACGUGCGGUCCUAUUUUGUUGGUUUCUAGGACCGCCGUAAUGAUUAAUAGGGACAGUCGGGGGCAUCAGUAUUCAAUUGUCAGAGGUGAAAUU